ACUUUUAAUAAUAAAUCUCUUAGUUCUAGUAUUAAUAAAGAACGUAGCGAAAUACGAUAAGUAAUAUAAAUUAUAGAGUUUAGUAAAUUAUUAAAUCUUUAAACGUAUAUUACGCCCGCUAGUACUUUAGCGGGUACGCUUAUCUAAGCGUUAUAUCUACCCUUAGGACCCCCCCUAGGUAGGGGGUAGCCCUAGUAAUAGGGGGACGCCUACCCCUAUAGUAAGCGCCCCCUAAAAGGUAGCGGUAGCUUACGCUACGCCUAGCCCUACGAAGUAGUAACGCCUCGCGAUAGCGUAGGGUAGCGCGCGCUACGCUAUAGAGCGACGAACGAAGUAAGGUUAACCUCGGAUUAGGCGGGGCUACCCGCUAAACUUAAGUAUAUUAAUAAGCGGAGGAAAAGAAACUAAUAGGGAUUACCCUAGUAACGGCGAGUAAAGUAGUAAUAGCUUAGAUUUAAAAUCUAGCGCCCCCGCGGCGCCUAAGUUAUAAUCUAUAGAGGACGCCUCUAGCGUAGCGCUAUCUAAGUUCCCUAGAAUAGGACGCUAAAGAGGGUAAGAGCCUUAUAUAGUUAGACGCCUAGCCUAUAUAAGGCUCCUUUAGUAAGUUAAGUAGUUUAGGAAUACUACUUAAAAUAAGAAGUAUACGCCUUCUAAAGCUAAAUACUAGCUAGAGACUAAUAGCGUAUAAGUAAAGUAAUUAAAAGAUAAAAAGUACUUUAAAAAGAAAGUUAAAUAAUACGUAAAAUUAUUAAAAAGGAAGCGCUUAUAGCUAGACUUAGGCUUAGGGGAUUAUCUAGCGCUCGCGCUAGUAUACUCCGCUAGGCUUUAGGCUAGUAUUAGCCUAUAGUAAGGGAUAAAAGCGCUAGGAACGUAGCUCCUUAGGGAGUAUUAUAGCCUAGCGCGCUAUACCUUACGGUAGGCUAAGGUACGCGCGUCCGUAAGGAUACUAGCGUAAUAGCUACUAGUAACUUAUCUUAAAAUAUAGACUAAGGAGUUAUCUUCGUAUAUAAGUAUUUAAGCGUUAAACCUAUAUACGUAAUAAAAGUAAACGUAAGUAAAAGCCCCCUUAGUAGGGGCGUACUACUAACUAAUCCUAAUGUUCUUAGAUAGAUUUAAGUAAGAGUAUAUAAAGCUAGACUUAAAAGAAAGUAAACUAUACCUAUAUAGGGUAAAGCUAGAGGAAACUCUAGUAGAAGCUCGUAGCGGUUCUAAUAUAUAAAUUAAUCGUUAAAUAUAAGUAUAAGGGCGAAAGACUAAUUAAACCUUCUAGUAGCUAGUUCUUACUAAAGUUUCCCUUAGGAUAGUAGUAUUAGCCUUUAGUUUUAUAAGGUAAAGCGAAUAAUUAAGGACCUAGGGGCGCUCUUUAGCCUUUAUCUAUUCUUAAGCUUUAAAUAUAUAAGAAGCCCUUAUUACUUAGCUAAACGUAAGUAUUUAAAUAUAUUAAUACUAGUAGGCUAUUUUUAGUAAGUAGAACUAGCGAUAUAGGAUAAACUAAGCGUAAGGUUAAGGUACUAGAGUAAACGCUUAUUAAAUACUAUAAAAGGCGUUAGUAUAUCUUAAUAGUAAAAUAGUAGCUAUAGAAGUUAAAACUUACUAAAGACUAUAUAAUAACUUACCUACUAAAUAUACUAGCCCUAAAAAUAAAUAGCGCUUAAGCGUCCUACCUAUACUUCGCCCUUAGGGUUAGAAUAAAGCCCUAAGGAGUAGGUAAGCGUAGGGGUUAGUAACGAAGCCUAGGGCGUAAGCCUAAGUUAAAUAGCCCCUAGUAUAGAUCUUAGUAGUAGUAGUAAAUACUUUAAUAGGAACUUAAAGGGCUAAAGUAAGGAAAGGUUCUACGCGAAUAGCGGUUAAGCGUAGGUUAGUUAAUUAUAAGCUAUAGGGAAGUUCUAUUUUAAGGGCGUACUUAGGCGCGCUACGUAGCGAAAGGGGAGCUAGUUAAGAUCCUAGCGCCUAGAUAUAGGUUUUACAUAGUAACGUAACUAAAUAUAGAAAUAGCGGUAGGGGCCUUAGGUAGAGUUCUCUUUUCUUCUUAAUAGCUUAUCGCCCUAAAAUUAGUUUAUCUAGAGCUAGGGCCUAAUAGCUAGAAGAGCCUAGUACUUUUACUAAGUCUAGUACGCCCCUAACGCCCCUUAAAAAUCUAUAAGAAGGAAUAAUUCUUACGCUAGCUCGUACUUAUAACUAUAGUAAGUCUCUAAGGUAAAUAGCUUCUAGUUAAUAGAAUAAUAUAAAUAAGGGAAGUUAGUAAAAUAAAUCUAUAACUUUAAGAUAAGGAUUAGCUCUAAAGGUUAGGUACGUUAGGCCUUAGGUAGACGCCCUAAGAGUAGGUAGCUAUUAGCUAAGAGACUAGCUAGCGGUAGCUAGUAUCUAGGUACCUACGCCCUUAGUAAGCUCUAGCUAUCUAGCAUAUAGUUAAUAACUAACUUAGAACUAGUAUAGGUAGGGGGAAUCUAACUAUCUAAUUAAAAUAUAGUAUUAUAAUAGCUAGAAAGUAGUAUUAAUAUAAUAUAAUUUCUACCUAGUACUCUAAAUAUUAAAGUAAAGUAAUUUAACUAAGCGUAAGUAAAUAAUAAGAGUAACUAUAACUUUCUUAAAGUAGCUAAAUACUUCGUUAUCUAAUUAGUAAUACAUAUAAAUAGAUUAACGAAAUUCCUACUAUCCCUAUUUACUAUUUAGCGAAACUAUAGCUAAGGGAAUAGGCUUAGUAGAAUUAGUAAGGAAAGAAGACCUUAUUAAGCUUAACUCUAGUUUAAUAUUAUAAAAAGAUAUAAGAAGUAUAGAAUAGGUAGAAGCUCUAGCGCUAGUAAAAUACUACUACUCUUAUUAUUUUUUUACUUAUUUAGUAGAGUAGGGCUAGGCUUAUACUUAACUUCUAGUCUUAAGGUCUUCUAUAGGCUAACCUAGGCUAAAAACAUUAUUAGGUAAGGAGUUUAGCUAGGGUAGUAUAUCUAUUAAACUAUAACGUAGGUAUCCUAAGGGGGGCUUAUAGAGAAUAGAAAUCUCUAGUAGAAUAAAAGAGUAAAAGUCCCUUUAAUUUUAAUUUUUAGUAUAAAUAUAAACUAUAAAAGUAUAGCCUAUUAAUUCUUUAGUCCUUUAGCGUUUAAGGCUAGAAGUACUAGAAAAGUUACUAUAGGGAUAACUAGCUUAUAGUAGCUAAGCGUUUAUAGUAACGUCGCUUUUUAAUCCUUCGAUAUUAGCUCUUCCUAUUAUACUAAAGUAGAAUUUAGUAAGCGUUAGAUUAUUUACUUACUAA
rnacentral:rRNA from 1 species